AUUGAACGCUGGCGGCAUGCUUUACACAUGCAAGUCGAACGGUAACAGGCCGCAAGGUGCUGACGAGUGGCGAACGGGUGAGUAAUGCAUCGGAACGUGCCCAGUCGUGGGGGAUAACUACUCGAAAGAGUAGCUAAUACCUCAUACGAUCUAUGGAUGAAAGCGGGGGACCGUAAGGCCUCGCGCGAUUGGAGCGGCCGAUGUCAGAUUAGGUAGUUGGUGGGGUAAAGGCUCACCAAGCCAACGAUCUGUAGCUGGUCUGAGAGGACAACCAGCCACACUGGAACUGAGACACGGCCCAGACUCCUACGGGAGGCAGCAGUGGGGAAUUUUGGACAAUGGGCGCAAGCCUGAUCCAGCAAUGCCGCGUGCAGGAAGAAGGCCUUCGGGUUGUAAACUGCUUUUGUACGGAACGAAACGGCUCUGGUUAAUACCCGGGGCUAAUGACGGUACCGUAAGAAUAAGCACCGGCUAACUACGUG
rnacentral:rRNA from 1 species